rnacentral:ncRNA from 1 species
AAGUAGUUUUAUUCUUGCUAAGUUAUUUAAUUUUGUCUUAUUUUAUAUGUAAGUUUUUGCGUGAUUAAUUUUUUAAUUCUUGAUGGUUAGGGUUUGUUUGUGUUAUUAUUUAUUCACAUUAUUUAUUUUUAUAUAUCUUAUUAUUAUGGAUUUAGUAAUGACUUUUAGUACCGGUUAAGUUUGUGCCAGCAGCCGCGGUUAUACAUUAGGUGCUAUUAAAUAUUUUUGGUUAUGCAGUUUUAUUAUUUGAUUUUUUUUGGGUUUUAAUUAUUUUGUUUUUAGGUGGAAUUUUUAUUUUUGUUUUUACUCUUAUUUUGUUUGUAGGCUGUGAAAUCUUUAUUUUAAACUAGGAUUAGAUACCCUAUUAUUAGAUGAUGUUAAUUUUUUUUUCUGGAGUAUUAAUAGUUAUGUUCUUGAAACUUAAAGAAUUUGGCGGUAUUUUAUACCUUUCAGAGGAAUCUGCUCCGUUAUCGAUAAUCCGCGUUGGACCUUUCUUAAUUUAAUUUGUUUGUAUACCGCCGUUAUAAUGAAGAUCUUUUUAGUGUUUAAAAUUUUCUGGGUUCAUAAUUUUGAUUUAUUUCAGGUCAAGGUGCAGUUUAUUAUUAAGUGUGAAGUGGAUUACAUUUAUUUUUGAUAUUUUUGGAUUAUUGGUUGAUAUAAUUGAUAUGAAAGUGGAUUUGAUUGUAAUUUAUCGUAGAUUGUUUUUAUGAUGUUGGUUCUAUAAUAUGCACACAUCGCCCGUCGCUCUCAUUUUUGUUGAGAUAAGUCGUAACAUAGUGGUCGUACCGGAAGGUGUGGCUGGAUUGAU